rnacentral:rRNA from 1 species
CGUUCCCGGGCCUUGUACACACCGCCCGUCACGUCAUGAAAGUCGGUAACACCCGAAGCCCAUGGCCCAACCCUUCGGGGAGGGAGUGGUCGAAGGUGGGACUGGCGAUUGGGACG